rnacentral:rRNA from 1 species
CAGCCGCCGCGGGAAAACGUAGGGGGCAAGCGUUGUCCGGAAUUAUUGGGCGUAAAGGGCUCGCAGGCGGUUUCUUAAGUCUGAUGUGAAAGCCCCCGGCUCAACCGGGGAGGGUCAUUGGAAACUGGGAAACUUGAGUGCAGAAGAGGAGAGUGGAAUUCCACGUGUAGCGGUGAAAUGCGUAGAGAUUAGGAAGAACACCAGUGGCGAAGGCGGCUUUUUGGCCUGUAACUGACACUGAGGCGCGAAAGCGUGGGGAGCAAACAGGAUUAGAUACCCGCGUAGUCCCUGUCUCUUAUAC